CUGCCUCCUAAGCAUGGUUUACUAAGACAGAUAGAUGGAAACCCCCUUAAUUUACAGUUAAUUUAAUUUGGGAGCUUAGGGGUAACUUUGAAUAUUGCAGGAGGCAAUUAGCAAGAAAUAAAUGGGCAACUUGUACAUUUCUCCCAUGGUGAGAUGCCCAUGGGGUGCCCAUAGCAGGUAACGAGAGGUGUGUAAGUGCCCUUUUUAGUUGUUAGAUGGGAACUGUGGGGAGUGAACAGACAGUUCAGCUGCACAUCCUCUAUUGCCAACAUUACCAUUUUUUAAGAUAUGUGAAACUACUCUAAGGAUGUGGACUUAUUUAGCAGAAAUAUAACAAAAAUAAUUAAGUUUUAAUUCUGGAUAAACAUGCUGUAGGACUAAUAUGUAAAUACUACAGCAGCAUAAUCCUACUAAACACGUUACGUCAGAAAGAAAUUAUACUCUGCAUGCGUGCAAAGGACUGCAGCCUUACAGAACAAUCCUAUGCCUCUUUCAAAAGUAAGCCCCACUGAUUUCAGUGCGUAUUACUGCCUCCCAGACAGUGAGGGUGUAAAAUUAUUGGACUGGAACCUUAAUGUUCCAAAUUUGGUGAACAUUCACAGUGCCAAAUUUUGGGAACAUUGAAACCAGAUUUCUGAUUCAUCACUUUUAGUGACUGAUAGCAACAUGUAGAUUAUUUGUUACAUCUACUGAUACCUCUGAGUUUUCAGACAUUCACAAUAUUCAUUAUUUGUCAUCUUUCACUGAAUUUCAGGUGUUUACUCUCACAAAUAUUAUAAAGAGGGAAGUAUCACCUACAGCUAAAUGGCAGCUUUAUCUACAUCAUGGAUCCUUUUUCAUUGAACUAACUUCCCUCAGGGAUGCCAUGUGGAAUUUAAGUAGGACCAUGUUGUCAACUGCCUUAAGAAAAGUGCAUUCCUUACCAUCAAAGGCAAGACAAAGAAUUCCAGAAGAGCUGCACAUGUGCCAAAGCAAGCUUGCCCUCAGCCAGGUCUCAGUGAAAAAUACCCAGCCAGUAUGGGCACCAGCCAUAUAUAGAUCCCACAGGGCCACUCUUCUCUUUCCAUGAUACAGGCUACUCCUGCUUGCACCAGUUGGUUUAUACACGUGAAAAGAGGAACCUUCAAUUUGACCAAUCCACAUUGCAUUUACGGGAGCAAGAAACUGGACGAAGUGGAAGCAGCUUACAAUAAACGGUAGCAAAUGAAGUGGAUUUCCAUUGGCUUUAAUACGAUGAGCCACAAAUCUCACCAGCCACAGUGUGAAACAGCAGCGUUCAGUUCCAUCACUUCAGGAAGCCAGGAGCGUCGUGUGCUGAUCUAUGACGUGCCCGUGAGUGACUGGAGCCACGGCUUUCAGAAGCGUAUGGGGAAGCCCAGCAACCUGUACCCCUAAACAUCGGCUCCUAGAGACUGGGGCAUCCUCUAGAACAGACUAGCAUGUGGCGUGGAAGGCUGCAGCAAGAAGGGCAGAUUUCCAAAGACCAGGGCUCCCAGGAUGAGAACAAAAGAGUCAUCCACUUGUACGCCGUCACCUUGGAUUCCACAUCAUAUACCCAACACAGAGGAUACUUGUGGACCUAUCUUUGAGAAGAAGGUUGGGAUUCCUGAUUCAUCGACUGGGCCAAUCCCUGCAUAAUGUGGUGCUUUAAUGACUGUGACUUUCUUCUCUUCCUCUGAAGUUCUGCAGAUUGGUAUUGUGCUGGUGGUACUGCUGCCGCCAACAGAAUGAGCAUGCUGAGAACCAGGCUUGAAUUGAGUGAGACUGGUGGGGAAUAUCCUGAAGGGGAAAAAGGCCUUUGAAAGUGGCUCAUGGGACUGGUUGCUGAACUAGAGUUCCCAUUCACUGUUAUCUGAGCCUGAGAGGUAGAAAAGAAACAAAGCAAAAAUCACAUCCCAGUAAAUUAAUUGUAGAACUGUCCAAAUCCUACCAUCCAUGUACAAAAGGUGAAGAAUGAAUUGCUAUCCCUAUAGCAAAGAUCCAGCUGUCAGAUUCUUAGCUAUAACAGUCCGUGUUCAGGAUUAUGUCCCCUAUGCAACCCUGUUCUAUUCCCCCUACAAAAAACAGCAUGCUGGAAUUAUGGGAAGGCAUCAAGAAAGUCUUAGGUCAGAGCAGUACAAAAUGAAAGAGACAGUAAAACUUGCACUUCCAAUUUUCUCUUGAAGGCAAUUUUCUCUUCCAUUUCCAAGUGCUUAAAUCUUAUUGCCAUUCACUUGAAGACAAAGAAAAAAGAUGCCAGCAAGAAGAGCUGAAAUCUCCUUCAAAUAUUGUGGCCAGAAUCUGGAUGCAAACUAGAUGUGAUGGUCAAGUUUAACCCACAGCAUGUUCUAAAAAUAUAAUACAUGGCCAAAGUAAUCCAUUGUUAUGUGAUUAACAUCCUAGGCAAUAAAUUCUGUCACACAUCUUGCCUUUUUUGUGGGGGGGGGGGGAAUAAGUCACUGCCAAUAUUUGGGCAUGCUUUGAUUUAUUAAGAUCACACAGCUGCUGUUUUUCAAACCACUUAACAUGCUGCUUUAUAAAAUGAGAAUAAUGAGUAGCACUGAAAAGCUUUUUUUCAGUGCAUGUCUACUCAGAAAUCAACCCCAUUAACUUCAAUGGGGUUUGGCUCAUUUGUAAGUAUGUGUGGGAUUGCAGCCUUAGAAACCAAUGGCUAUAGAUGAAGAAACCUUACUUUGUGUGAUGCACCAACUUGCUUUUCCUUAGCACUUCUGGUUGACUUGUAACCUUACGUAUAGCAAGGAGGUCACAUCCUGAAGUCAUGCAAACUUUCUAACCUUGUACCCAUUUACUUGGAUUAAAAUCCCACUGAGUUCUAGCAUUCUGGUUAAGUAUACCAAAGAUUCCAUUUAAAUUUGUCAUGUUAACCCUUACAGCAUGAUACUGGAUUAUAACGGCUUUUCAUUCAGAAAAGUCUUCUAGAAUCUACUGUUUUAUUAUCUUGUAAUACAGUGACCUAUAAAAUAUUAGGCAUA